rnacentral:tRNA from 1 species
AGCUAACUUGGUCAAAUAAAUCGCAGAAGGUCGCCGCCAACAGUCGAGUGAGCGUUGCCCUCCGAAGGCAAAGGUCACACGUUCGAAUCGUGUCGGGUGCGCCA